rnacentral:rRNA from 1 species
CUUCCUGCAGUCGACGGGGGUAGCAAUACCCUAGUGGCGAACGGGUGAGUAAAGCAUCGGAACGUACCCAGUCGUGGGGGAUAACGUAGCGAAAGUUACCUCUAAUACCGCAUACGAUCUGAGGAUGAAAGCAGGGGACUCGCAAGAGCCUUGCGCGAUUGGAGCGGCCGAUGUCGGAUUAGCUAGUUGGUGGGGUAAAAGCCUACCAAGGCGACGAUCCGUAGCUGGUCUGAGAGGAUGAUCAGCCACACUGGGACUGAGACACGGCCCAGACUCCUACGGGAGGCAGCAGUGGGGAAUUUUGGACAAUGGGGGAAACCCUGAUCCAGCCAUGCCGCGUGAGUGAAGAAGGCCUUCGGGUUGUAAAGCUCUUUCAGACGGAAAGAAAUGGUCUUGGCUAAUACCCGAGAUCGAUGACGGUACCAUAAGAAGAAGCACCGGCUAACUACGUGCCAGCAGCCGCGGUAAUACGUAGGGUGCGAGCGUUAAUCGGAAUUACUGGGCGUAAAGCGUGCGCAGGCGGUUGCAUAAGACAGAUGUGAAAUCCCCGGGCUUAACCUGGGAACUGCGUUUGUGACUGUGCGACUGGAGUACGGCAGAGGGGGGUGGAAUUCCUGGUGUAGCAGUGAAAUGCGUAGAUAUCAGGAGGAACAUCGAUGGCGAAGGCAGCCCCCUGGGCCUGUACUGACGCUCAUGCACGAAAGCGUGGGGAGCAAACAGGAUNAGAUACCCUGGUAGUCCACGCCCCUAAACGAUGUCGACUAGUUGUUCGGGAAGGUGACUUUCUUGAGUAACGUAGCUAACGCGUGAAGUUCGACCGCCUGGGGAGUUCGGGCCCCCAAGGUUAAAA